GAUGAAGAAUGUAGUGAAAUGCGAUACGUAAUGUGAAUUGCAGAAUUCAGUGAAUCAUCGAAUCUUUGAACGCACAUUGCGCCCGCCAGCACUCUGGCGGGCAUGCCUGUUCGAGCGUCAUUUCAACCAUCAAGCCCCAGGCUUGCGUUGGAGCCCUGCGGCUGCCGCAGCCUCCUAAAAGCAGUGGCGGGCUCGCUAUCACACCGAGUGCAGUAGAUUACUCUUCGCUCAGGGCGUGCAGCGGGUUCCGGCCGUGAAACCCCCUACUUUUAAAGGUUGACCUCGGAUCAGGUAGGAAUACCCGCUGAACUCAAGCAUAUCAAUAAGCGGAGGA
rnacentral:misc_RNA from 1 species